rnacentral:misc_RNA from 1 species
AAAGGAUAAUACAUCAUUCAGGAAUGAUGGAGGAGACAUUCCACUCAUUCAAGCCAGACGUGGAAGUAGCAGCAGUUGCAAGUGUAUGAGCACCCUAGUUUGCUGACCUUUUUAUAAAACAAAUAGAAACAAUAAAAAGUUCACCCAUGGGGUUUUCAUAUAAUUAAUAAUUGUAUUCAAAUAAGAAAAAUCUAUUGAUAAACCAUUAAAAACAUGAAACAACAUGAAGGAAUCGAAUUUCAACACGUGAAAGGCUUUUUAAUUUUAUCCAUCCAAGAGAGCUUCCUGAG